GGUUAAGCGACUAAGCGUACACGGUGGAUGCCCUGGCAGUCAGAGGCGAUGAAGGACGUGCUAAUCUGCGAUAAGCGUCGGUAAGGUGAUAUGAACCGUUAUAACCGGCGAUUUCCGAAUGGGGAAACCCAGUGUGAUUCGUCACACUAUCAUUAACUGAAUCCAUAGGUUAAUGAGGCGAACCGGGGGAACUGAAACAUCUAAGUACCCCGAGGAAAAGAAAUCAACCGAGAUUCCCCCAGUAGCGGCGAGCGAACGGGGAGCAGCCCAGAGCCUGAAUCAGUGUGUGUGUUAGUGGAAGCGUCUGGAAAGGCGUGCGAUACAGGGUGACAGCCCCGUACACAAAAAUGCACAUGCUGUGAGCUCGAUGAGUAGGGCGGGACACGUGGUAUCCUGUCUGAAUAUGGGGGGACCAUCCUCCAAGGCUAAAUACUCCUGACUGACCGAUAGUGAACCAGUACCGUGAGGGAAAGGCGAAAAGAACCCCGGCGAGGGGAGUGAAAAAGAACCUGAAACCGUGUACGUACAAGCAGUGGGAGCACAGAGCAAUCUGUGUGACUGCGUACCUUUUGUAUAAUGGGUCAGCGACUUAUAUUCUGUAGCAAGGUUAACCGAAUAGGGGAGCCGAAGGGAAACCGAGUCUUAACUGGGCGUUAAGUUGCAGGGUAUAGACCCGAAACCCGGUGAUCUAGCCAUGGGCAGGUUGAAGGUUGGGUAACACUAACUGGAGGACCGAACCGACUAAUGUUGAAAAAUUAGCGGAUGACUUGUGGCUGGGGGUGAAAGGCCAAUCAAACCGGGAGAUAGCUGGUUCUCCCCGAAAGCUAUUUAGGUAGCGCCUCGUGAAUUCAUCUCCGGGGGUAGAGCACUGUUUCGGCAAGGGGGUCAUCCCGACUUACCAACCCGAUGCAAACUGCGAAUACCGGAGAAUGUUAUCACGGGAGACACACGGCGGGUGCUAACGUCCGUCGUGAAGAGGGAAACAACCCAGACCGCCAGCUAAGGUCCCAAAGUCAUGGUUAAGUGGGAAACGAUGUGGGAAGGCCCAGACAGCCAGGAUGUUGGCUUAGAAGCAGCCAUCAUUUAAAGAAAGCGUAAUAGCUCACUGGUCGAGUCGGCCUGCGCGGAAGAUGUAACGGGGCUAAACCAUGCACCGAAGCUGCGGCAGCGACNNNNNNNNNNNNNNNNNNNNNNNNNNNAUGCUGGAGGUAUCAGAAGUGCGAAUGCUGACAUAAGUAACGAUAAAGCGGGUGAAAAGCCCGCUCGCCGGAAGACCAAGGGUUCCUGUCCAACGUUAAUCGGGGCAGGGUGAGUCGACCCCUAAGGCGAGGCCGAAAGGCGUAGUCGAUGGGAAACAGGUUAAUAUUCCUGUACUUGGUGUUACUGCGAAGGGGGGACGGAGAAGGCUAUGUUGGCCGGGCGACGGUUGUCCCGGUUUAAGCGUGUAGGCUGGUUUUCCAGGCAAAUCCGGAAAACUAAGGCUGAGGCGUGAUGACGAGGCACUACGGUGCUGAAGCAACAAAUGCCCUGCUUCCAGGAAAAGCCUCUAAGCAUCAGGUAACAUCAAAUCGUACCCCAAACCGACACAGGUGGUCAGGUAGAGAAUACCAAGGCGCUUGAGAGAACUCGGGUGAAGGAACUAGGCAAAAUGGUGCCGUAACUUCGGGAGAAGGCACGCUGAUAUGUAGGUGAAGUCCCUCGCGGAUGGAGCUGAAAUCAGUCGAAGAUACCAGCUGGCUGCAACUGUUUAUUAAAAACACAGCACUGUGCAAACACGAAAGUGGACGUAUACGGUGUGACGCCUGCCCGGUGCCGGAAGGUUAAUUGAUGGGGUUAGCGCAAGCGAAGCUCUUGAUCGAAGCCCCGGUAAACGGCGGCCGUAACUAUAACGGUCCUAAGGUAGCGAAAUUCCUUGUCGGGUAAGUUCCGACCUGCACGAAUGGCGUAAUGAUGGCCAGGCUGUCUCCACCCGAGACUCAGUGAAAUUGAACUCGCUGUGAAGAUGCAGUGUACCCGCGGCAAGACGGAAAGACCCCGUGAACCUUUACUAUAGCUUGACACUGAACAUUGAGCCUUGAUGUGUAGGAUAGGUGGGAGGCUUUGAAGUGUGGACGCCAGUCUGCAUGGAGCCGACCUUGAAAUACCACCCUUUAAUGUUUGAUGUUCUAACGUUGACCCGUGAUCCGGGUUGCGGACAGUGUCUGGUGGGUAGUUUGACUGGGGCGGUCUCCUCCUAAAGAGUAACGGAGGAGCACGAAGGUUGGCUAAUCCUGGUCGGACAUCAGGAGGUUAGUGCAAUGGCAUAAGCCAGCUUGACUGCGAGCGUGACGGCGCGAGCAGGUGCGAAAGCAGGUCAUAGUGAUCCGGUGGUUCUGAAUGGAAGGGCCAUCGCUCAACGGAUAAAAGGUACUCCGGGGAUAACAGGCUGAUACCGCCCAAGAGUUCAUAUCGACGGCGGUGUUUGGCACCUCGAUGUCGGCUCAUCACAUCCUGGGGCUGAAGUAGGUCCCAAGGGUAUGGCUGUUCGCCAUUUAAAGUGGUACGCGAGCUGGGUUUAGAACGUCGUGAGACAGUUCGGUCCCUAUCUGCCGUGGGCGCUGGAGAACUGAGGGGGGCUGCUCCUAGUACGAGAGGACCGGAGUGGACGCAUCACUGGUGUUCGGGUUGUCAUGCCAAUGGCACUGCCCGGUAGCUAAAUGCGGAAGAGAUAAGUGCUGAAAGCAUCUAAGCACGAAACUUGCCCCGAGAUGAGUUCUCCCUGACUCCUUGAGAGUCCUGAAGGAACGUUGAAGACGACGACGUUGAUAGGCCGGGUGUGUAAGCGCAGCGAUGCGUUGAGCUAACCGGUACUAAUGAACCGUGAGGCUUAACCUU
rnacentral:rRNA from 1 species